UACGGGGGGGGCAAGCGUUGUUCGGAAUUACUGGGCGUAAAGCGUGCGCAGGCGGUUCGUUAAGUUCGUUGUGAAAGCCCCGGGCUCAACCUGGGAACUGCAAUGGAAACUGGCGGGCUUGAGUGUGGCAGAGGGGGGUGGAAUUCCGCGUGUAGCAGUGAAAUGCGUAGAGAUGCGGAGGAACACCGAUGGCGAAGGCAGCCCCCUGGGCCAACACUGACGCUCAGGCACGAAAGCGUGGGGAGCAAACAGG
rnacentral:rRNA from 1 species